UUAUACCACAUUAGUGGUGCGUUUAUUUGAUUAAACCAUUUAUAUUGGUUGACUCAAAAUAUCCUCGCUGAUUUUGUUACUAAAACAUACCGUAUGUGUAUCUGGUUUAUCAACUUUCGAUGGUAGGGUAUUGGCCUACCAUGGUUGUGACGGAUAACGGAGAAUUAGGGUUCGACUCCGGAGAGGGAGCCUGAGAAACGGCUACCACAUCCAAGGAAGGCAGCAGGCGCGAAAAUUACCCAAUUUUAGUUAAAAGAGGUAGUGACGAAAAAUGACAACCAAAUAUUAUUAUUAAUAUUUGGAUUGAAAAUCUUCAAGUUUAAAUAACUUGUUGGUAAAGGAAAGGGCAAGUCUGGUGCCAGCAGCCGCGGUAAUACCAGCUUUCCAAGUGCAUAAAAUGAUUGUUGUGGUUAAAAAGCUCGUAGUUGGAUUAUAAAGAUUGUAUAAUGAGCAUCUUGGAUGUUAUUAAUCAUUAUCAUCUUAUAUUUUUAUUAUAUUAGAAAUAAUAUA
rnacentral:rRNA from 2 species